rnacentral:rRNA from 1 species
UGGGGAAUUUUGGACAAUGGGCGAAAGCCUGAUCCAGCAAUGCCGCGUGUGUGAAGAAGGCCUUCGGGUUGUAAAGCACUUUUGUCCGGAAAGAAAUCCUUGGCUCUAAUACAGUCGGGGGAUGACGGUACCGGAAGAAUAAGCACCGGCUAACUACGUGCCAGCAGCCGCGGUAAUACGUAGGGUGCAAGCGUUAAUCGGAAUUACUGGGCGUAAAGCGUGCGCAGGCGGUUUGCUAAGACCGAUGUGAAAUCCCCGGGCUCAACCUGGGAACUGCAUUGGUGACUGGCAGGCUAGAGUAUGGCAGAGGGGGGUAGAAUUCCACGUGUAGCAGUGAAAUGCGUAGAGAUGUGGAGGAAUACCGAUGGCGAAGGCAGCCCCCUGGGCCAAUACUGACGCUCAUGCACGAAAGCGUGGGGAGCAAACAGGAUUAGAUACCCUGGUAGUCCACGCCCUAAACGAUGUCAACUAGUUGUUGGGGGACUUCAUUUUCCUUAGUAACGUAGCUAACGCGUGAAGUUGACCGCCU